AACGCGAAGAACCUUACCAGGUCUUGACAUCCAGUAAAACUUGCAGAGAUGCAAGGUGAGCUUGCUCUUACUAAGACCGGUGGUGCGUGGUUGUCGUCUGCUCGUGUCUCGAGAUGUUGGAUUAAGGCCCGCAACGAGCGCAACCCUUAUUUUCAUAUACUAACGCGUAAAGGCGAGGACUCUGAAAAGACUGAGACUGCCGGUUCUAAGGAGGAUGAAGGCGAGGACGACGCAUAAUCCCCCUUGUGACUUAUGACCUGGGCUAGCUACAAUGUACAAUGGUUGGUACAACGAGUCGCGAGGCGGUGACGGUCUCCAAAUCUCUUAAAGCCAAUCUCAGUUCGGAGUGUAGGCUGCAACUCACCUACAUGAAGCUGGAAUCGCUAGUAAUCUCACAUCAGAUUGCUGCGGUGAAUAUGUUCCCCGGGUCUUGUACACACCG
rnacentral:rRNA from 1 species